AGUGAACGCUGGCGGUAGGCCUAACACAUGCAAGUCGAACGGCAGCACAGUAAGAGCUUGCUCUUACGGGUGGCGAGUGGCGGACGGGUGAGGAAUACAUCGGAAUCUACUUUUUCGUGGGGGAUAACGUAGGGAAACUUACGCUAAUACCGCAUACGACCUACGGGUGAAAGCAGGGGAUCUUCGGACCUUGCGCGAUUGAAUGAGCCGAUGUCGGAUUAGCUAGUUGGCGGGGUAAAGGCCCACCAAGGCGACGAUCCGUAGCUGGUCUGAGAGGAUGAUCAGCCACACUGGAACUGAGACACGGUCCAGACUCCUACGGGAGGCAGCAGUGGGGAAUAUUGCACAAUGGGCGCAAGCCUGAUCCAGCCAUGCCGCGUGGGUGAAGAAGGCCUUCGGGUUGUAAAGCCCUUUUGUUGGGAAAGAAAAGCAGCAGGUUAAUACCCCGCUGUUCUGACGGUACCCAAAGAAUAAGCACCGGCUAACUUCGUG
rnacentral:rRNA from 1 species